UACGUAGGCAGCAAGCGUUGUUCGGAAUUACUGGGCGUAAAGAGUGUGUAGGCGGUGCUCCAAGUCUGGUGUGAAAUCUCCCGGCUUAACUGGGAGGGUGCAUUAGAAACUGGAAUGCUAGAGGAUGGGAGAGGUAAGCGGAAUUCCUGGUGUAGCGGUGAAAUGCGUAGAUAUCAGGAGGAACACCUGUGGUGUAGACAGCUUACUGGACCAUUUCUGACGCUGAGACGCGAAAGCGUGGGGAGCAAACAGG
rnacentral:rRNA from 1 species